GGGCAGUAUAGUGCCAGGAAAACGAGUAUGUUUUCCUGGCACUAUAGUGGUCCUUUAAGAUAAUGGUUGCUAGGUAAGUGAUACUGAUUACCAAGGACUAAUCUUUUUGAGUUGCUCUUUCCAAUAACUUAUCACAUUAACCUUAGCAGCAUGUCAAACCCUUGUUUACUUAUAUUUGGUGAUUUUGACAAAAAACUUUGUGUGCACCCACGCACUAAAUGUACAAUGAUGACUACAUCGACUACUCAUGACUACUUGAGAACAAGGAGCUGCCUCUGUCCUUUGAAAAAACAACAAAAGAUUUCACAGUUUAGAAAGAAAACUAAUAGAGAAAAACAGUAUGACACUGAUACAUUUUGAUUUAAUCAUGCAUGUGGCCUUGUACACCUUAUGGCAGCAUCACAUUUAGGAGAUGCACAAAGCUUUAUGGUGAAUCCUGAGCUUUAUUGUUCUGACAGACGUGUCUGGAAUCAAAUGGUCUAAUAGUCCAUUAGGGAUUCUCAAUCCCCUAUAUAAGAACUAGCUACUUAAUAGCUCUUGAGUUAUUACGAUGGAUUAUUCUGUCAUUCUCAACUAUUUUGCACACCCUGGACAACUUCUCAUAGUCCUUUCAGAAUGACUCUCUUAACUGCUUAUUUUGGAUUUCCAGAUACAUCCUAUAUAUCAGAGAGGCCAGAAUAGGAGCACUGCUAUUUCUGAUGAUGUUGCUGCUCUGGUUGUGUGUUUAACUUGUUGCUGGGACAAAAACAGUGCAUAUGGUAUGAGGUUGGUGCAGUUGGUGCAUGGGCUGGCAGAGAGGAGGUGGAACCACAUAAUCUUUGUUUACAUCAUUGCAUUCCAGUUUUUAUGGCACACAUAAUGUAUUUAAAUAAGAAAGCAUUGUGUAUAGUAAAGGGAUAAUGUUUUAUUGCCCAGCCUGCAGAAAGGUUAAGGGAUAGGCUUUUUCUUUCACAACAAUGGUGCAAGCAUUUAGGUUGCACACAUAUUUUAUAAGUUUUUUUUUUUUAAUGUAAUGUUUGUACAUGCUAUUUGUAUAAAAAAGGUACUCUUAUUGUUCAGCUAUUCCAGGUGAUCUUAGAGGUUUAGCUAUUCCACUAUCACUUCCUCCAUGGCUCUAUUGAUUUAUCUAGGCUAUCACUUCAGUCAUAGUUUUCCUUCUGUUUCUCUUUAUUUCUGUUAAAGCAUUUUUAACAUAUUAAAGAAGAAGUGAAAAUAUAUUCAAGUUGUCUGAGUGCUAAGCAAAUCAAAGUGUAUUCCAAAACAUUCAAAAGUCACCAACAAUUAUAGGGUUGUCUCUACAAAAAAAUAAAAUAAAGAGAGAGAAAACAAACAAUCCCUUUAUGGAAAAAAUGCAUGAAUGCUAAAUGACAAAAACACCAUACAAUCCAAAAUUUGAAUGACUGAACAUAAAAUAAUAUGUAAUAAAUAUUAACUUUUAACAAAAUAUUUAAAUCUUGAAUGAAGUGAGCAAUAAAUACAUUAUAGGUAAAUAGAUUUGAUACAUACCAGUAUUGGUCUACCUAAAGGUCUAUUUGUCAAAAUAUUCAUAUAAAUUCCAAGUGGUUGAUGUCUGAAACAGUGACACACGCUUGCUGUUUUACACUGGUAUGUAUCUAUGUAUUAUUCAUUUGUUUAUUGGCACUGUGUUCAAAGGAGAAAUUUUGUCAUAAGAAUAUAUUUAUUUUGAAUGUUUUCAACCAUUUAGGUAUUGGAUCCUUAUGAUUGUUUUGUGAUUUUUUUAAAAUUCAUUUGGUUAAACUUAG
rnacentral:lncRNA from 1 species